UCUUAUGUACAUGCCUACAAUGUUAACACACCGGAUCCCAUUGGAACUUUGUAGCUAAGUACGCUUGGGCUAGAGAAGUAUUGGGAUGGGUGACUUUGUGGGAAGUCCUAAUGUUUUACAUGCC
rnacentral:rRNA from 1 species